UAAGGUGAGAGCUUCUACUGAGAAAAGGA
rnacentral:piRNA from 1 species